rnacentral:rRNA from 1 species
UACGAAGGACCCGAGCGUUAUCCGGAUUUAUUGGGUUUAAAGGGUGCGUAGGCGUCCUGGAAAGUUACGGUUGAAAUCUCCUUGCUCAACAAGGAAACUGGCCGUAAAACUAUCAGGAUUGAGUACAUUUGAAGCGGGCGGAAUGUGUCAUGUAGCGGUGAAAUGCUUAGAUAUGACACAGAACACCAAUGGCGAAGGCAGCUCGCUAAACUGUAACUGACGCUGAGGCACGAAAGCGUGGGGAUCAAACAGG